rnacentral:lncRNA from 1 species
CAAACUAUUUGUUACUUACUUGAUUCAAUCAGGGGAUUGAAUCAAGGGUGUUAAGGUUUGUUGGUGAGCCAAGGUUAAAACCAACGGUGUAAGGGUUUGAUUGUGAUCCCGGAAAAACAAUCGGGUAGUUCUAGUCGGUGAGCCUGUAAAAACCGACCGAGUUCGUUGUGAUCUCGUAAAACAACAAGUUGGGUUGUGAACUUGUAAAACAACCGGCUGUAAUCCGAGGGAUUAUAGUGAACUCCCAAGUGAGGCUUGGGGAGUGGACGUAGGAGCAAGGGUUAGCUCCGAACCACUAUAAAAUUGCUUGUGUUUGUGAUUGUUUCAUUAUCUCUUUCUUUCCCUUCAUCCACUGCAUAUAGCAACUAAUUAAU